UCCGGUUUGUCACCGGCAGUCUCAUUAGAGUGCCCUUUCGUAGCAACUAAUGACAAGGGUUGCGCUCGUUGCGGGACUUAACCCAACAUCUCACGACACGAGCUGACGACAGCCAUGCAGCACCUGUGUUACGGUUCUCUUUCGAGCACAAUCUGAUCUCUCAAAUCUUCCGUACAUGUCAAGGGUAGGUAAGGUUUUUCGCGUUGCAUCGAAUUAAUCCACAUCAUCCACCGCUUGUGCGGGUCCCCGUCAAUUCCUUUGAGUUUUAAUCUUGCGACCGUACUCCCCAGGCGGUCUACUUCACGCGUUAGCUGCGUUACCAAGUCAAUUAAGACCCGACAACUAGUAGACAUCGUUUAGGGCGUGGACUAC
rnacentral:misc_RNA from 1 species